rnacentral:tRNA from 1 species
GCGGCAUUAGCUCAGUUGGAUAGAGUGCCUGGCUACGAACCAGUAGGUCGGGGGUUCGAGUCCCUUAUGCCGCG